ensembl:lncRNA
GACACAGUUGUUUCCGAGACAGAAAAAUAACGCGGCCUAAAGGUGUCAUUCAUAACCGCCCUGCGCCUCCCACGCGGGCACGCGGGGGCGAGGACAGCUCACAUAUCUAUGGAUCAUGCGAUGACAAAUGUACCAGCGAACCCACGCUGCUGUUGCUGUAUUGACGGUGUUGGCAGCGUGUGUGGUCUGAGAUUGAUGAGUUUGAGCUCAACCGGUCUGUAUAACUGACUUAACGCACACUGACAUAAAGCAGAGAGUUGUUUCACACCAUCCGGCUCGCUUGGUGUGAAAUAGCAGCGGGCUGUCUGAUGUGUGCUGGGACAAAUGUCUUGUCUUCUUCAAAGAUAGCAGCUUACUGGAUGAUGAGCAGGACAUUUCCCUGACAGCAAUUAGUGCUUCCUUCACGGCGAGUUAUAGAAACCUCACAAUUAUUCUGGAUCUCGACAAGAUCAAUGUCUGAUUCCCAAUAAUCAGACUUAACUGCAUUACGUUACAAUUUCACACGUCUUCUUCUAAAUGUUAAAAGGUAUAACGCGAGAGAGGAGGGGAGCGUCUCUGCAGACAGAGACAGAACCACAUGUUUUGCAUGUUACACCUUUUUAAGUCUGGUGUUUCUUUGAAAUAAUCACAGUUUUGCCAAAGAAGCACAGACGCUACAGUCGAUUCCUGUACAUCAAUGAAACAAAAAGGUAUUAUUCUCUUUAGAAAUCCCCUUCAGCUUUUUGUCAGCCUGCUGAGCGUUUUCUUUUCAAUAUGAAGUCAACGUUUCAUCGUCGUUGAUUUUCCUCAUUGAGAGAACGAUUGAUUUAUUUAUGUGAUGUAAUCCUUUUUGACGCCACUAUAACAACCAGGGCUCAAUAGAAGCCCUGCACUCUCUAUAAAACUUGAUGGCCCCAUUAUGUGAGGCUGAAUACAGGGCUUAAUGACGUUGACCUCUCGCUUUGCGGAGCCCCAGUGGAAGGUGGUGGUGUUGAGUGAGGAAGGACGUCCACAACAGCCUCCGCGUCAAAGCAGAUCAGUGAUUUCUGCCACGAAAACACCUUCUGAAUUGUCACCAUGGAAAUAAAAUCCAGAAAAGUUAGAAUUUACUCAGCCAAAUAUUACAGUGUUAUUGCCUGCAGUUUGUUUGUAGCAAAUGUAACAUACUAACAAACUGUUACAUAUGCAACACAGUUGAAAAAUAGCAAAUUUGCUUUACAUUUCCAUUCACGUAGCGCCAGAGAGACCUUGUCCCACUUACACUCUGACAACGUUAACGUGAAAUACAACCAGCGGGUGAAAAGCGUCACAGAGUCACUUUGUUUCAUCUCGACCAGGAAAGGAGGGAGAUUCGAACGAUGUGCCGUUGAUGAUGAUGAUGAUGACGAAUGAAAAGAAAGAAGAUGAGAAACAUUAUUGUUAGAACUGGCUGGAUGAAGCACAGCGCACUGCUCUGUUGCCUCCGGGGCUGAAUAGUCUCAGUCAGGCUCACUUUUCCUAAACUUACUUUCAAAUCUAGGGCCCACUUUUAAUUCCCAGACUUAAUGGCCCACACUUAAAGUGUUGUUAGUCACAGUAACCAGAGGAGCUUUGCCCGGUGGAGCGGCUGGUUGGGGCACAUUAACUCUGCAAGUUCAAGAGGUAGAGUCGAGAUCCAGAUGUGUGCGUGUGUCCCGUUGUCCAGGGUUAAAGGUUAAACAAACACACAACGUGGUUGUGCACUGAGCCUGUGUGCACGAUCCCUUUCGUAAAGGUUUAACGCGUCAAAGUAAAACAAAGCACGAGGCGUUAAAUAAGGCUGCACAUCCCCUGCUAUUUCUUUCCCUUUAACCAAUGCUUCACCCGAAACACUUAAACCCUUUUGCUAUUAUUUCCUUUCAAAAGCAAAGCGCUGCAUCAGUCUUGGUGUUGAUGUGAAUCAUUUAAAGGUCGUUGUUUGGGAUCUUUGAAUAUGAGGUUUGAAUUAAAGCAUCUUAAGAAGACGUGGCAGCACAUUCAUUUUUGAUCACGGCUCUGGUACAGUUGGAUGCCUCCGAAAGCUUUUUGCCUGUGUGUGUGUGUGUGUGUGUGUGUUUGUUUGUGUGUGAGAGAGAUUAAAGAGAGUGGUUGAUCGCUCUGGAAGGCUGCAGAGCACCAGCCGGACGGCUUGGAUGUGCUGAAGGCCGCUUUCAGGGUGAAAACGCCGCUGUUGGUGGACCUUUUAACUUUGUCUUUUAUCAAGGAACUCAAAAGCCCACGGUUAUGCAAAUGAGAACAUGCACAUGGAAAACCUCACGCACCAAACACACACACACACACAGAGGCGGCGGCCUCUUGCAGAUGGGGUCGACCCGGCACUGUCGUGGCUGCAGGAGCGCGUGGCGGACGGUGACAUCCUGGUGAAUGCCCCUUCGCCACUGCUGACCACGGUCAUGGACAGUGUGGAUUCAGGGUUCCUCCUUUGCUCUCACCCCCCCUCCCCCCAAACAGUAGAGAUGGAUCCGAUGUGUAACGUGAUGCAGCGCUGGGCCGACCUGUGCGUGCCUGCCAUGUGUCGACUCAGCAGAGAUGAACCCGAGAACGCCCGACAGCACAGCUGCAUUUGAUUUUGUUUUUGAACAGUGGCCUGAAUUCUUGAUUUUGUUUUAAAUAAAUGACAUUUCUAGCAUAAAUGUCUGCAUCCAAAUGGACGAGGAUGCAGGAAAUAUGGGGUUUGACACUCCGAAUGUCCGGUGGUUGGACCUCCGUAACUCUUCAUCCGCCCCAAAAUGUUAAAACGAAACCUUGAGUUUAGCUCAUUUUAAAGCAGAGCUAAAAAUAUAGGAAAUGAUGAAUGCGUCUUGUGGAAGUGUCCACUGAUUCACAGACAUCAAAGCCUGCACAGCUCUCAACUUCAUUUACUGCUCCCCGAAUGUGACACAUCUCCUCUGUUCUUCCAUUCUCUUCGACGGUAAUCCGCACUUUCAAAUUCACACCACACCACAACAUGCUUUGUGUUAUUAGUGUAAAAAAAAAAAAAAAAUCUGCUCUUCAUUUAACAGCCCAAAAUCUCGGCGAAUGCUCCGGUAGCCAGAAAUGAGAAAUCCCACGGUUUUAACAGCAACUAGUGCCGCGCCUGUUACAUUCGGGUCACGCAGCUCAGCAUCUCUCCCCUGAAAGAGAGGCAACCUCUAAAAUGUUGGACUUUCAACAGCCAAAUGGUUUCCAGGCAAUUUCAGCAUUCUCAACGUCCCCUCGGAUCCAACGUAUUCCGUCCCCACCACCAUAUGACACGACAAAAAUAUCAUUGUUUUACCUCAUCCACUCAAUCCACACACAUACUUCUUGAAUUUAUAACCAUAAAUAAGAAGUAGAGGGACGACUUAUGUAUUUUGUAAUAAUACAACAGUGGUUAAAUUCCAUUUUCCUUUUUUUUUUUCCAUUUUGAGGCUCAGGCAAUAAUCACACAAAAUCAACACCAUACCGUUACAUUUCAUGCAUUUGAUCCACUAUGAACCUUUUCACCUCCCUCGGCUCGUCCUUCACUUUCAACAAAGAUGCAAAUGUGUGUGGAGAAAAAUGACCUCGCUGACCCUCCCCGGCAAACGGAGGAGAGAGCUGUAGCCGGAGGCACAUACGCUAAUGUGUCAAUAAUGGAAAGUUGCGUUGACAAGGGCAAUUAGUCACUGCGCAGCCUCGGCUGAGAGGAAAGCUAAAAUGAAGGAAGACAUUGGGAGAGCGAACACUGGAGGCCGCGAGGAGGGAAGGAGGAGCUAAAGAAAUGAAGGAAGGUGGUGAGAGGAGAGACGGUUAAUGAGAAAUGCGUGAAAAGGUCAAAGGUAAGACUGCAAAGUGGUUCAAAAGGUGGAUUAGAGAGAGGAAGUUGAUGAUGGAAAAGACAAAGAAGGAGAGAGGAGCGAGGGCCAGGAGGUGAAAAGGGGCCUGAAGAGGGGAAAUGAUUGAAAGAGAAGUAGAAAAGCAGGCAGAGGUUCCGAGGAGAGGUGAUUCAUCGAGGCUUUUACAACAUUCGCCAUCUCUGCAUGCUCUCGUCCCUCUUUGCACUCAGCCUUGAAAAGGACUUAUUUUCAUUUUCAAGUCGUUUUGCCCCGGGAACAUCAUUUCCUGUCCGUUUGAGCAUGCAUGAACAUUCCAUUCAACAACACACAACCCACAAAGUGCUGGAUACAGUCGUUUCUUGACAAAUGACACAAUGCAAAGUAGAUUGGCCGUUAUUUGUUAUUUGCUUUGAAUAAAAAAUAUUCUAGUCAUUUGCACAUAAUGAUUUCUGCAUUAUUUUCAUUUCAAAUGGUAAAAGCUACUUUAUUUUUGAUGGACAGAAGGUUUUUCAACAGCUUUUCUUUGUGGGUGCACUAGUUAAUAAUUUGUUAAUUCGCGUACCUGCAUGAGCUUCAUCUGUUACCUACACGCGUGUGUCAAUACGCCUGUGGCGUGUCCGUUCAUGGGCUUGUGUGAUAGCAAUGUAAGGUCCACAUGUCUGCAGCACACGUGCAUCGAUGCAUGUGUGAGAUGUAUCGAAGCACAGAUUCUCCAAAACUUUGAUUCAUAAGCGUCAAUAAAAGGUUCUUGUGCGAAUGGCCGUGCUCCUUUGUUGAAACAUGAGAGUGCACGGAUAGAUCAGUAAGGAGGAAGUAGUCGAGUUUGUGUUUGUCAUGUUUUUAACCUGCUAGAGGACCCGUGUUGCUAGAUAUAAGCAGGUACUUCCUCGCUUCUCCUUUUCACACUGUAGAUACAUGAGUAUAAGAUUUAGAUAAAGGUUAGAAAAGAGAAAUAAUUACUAGAACCACAUAGAGACAAUUACAAAGAGAUCUGGCAGGGUCAUAACCGGGAUCCAAAUAUGUCUCUUAUCUAUAGCAAGUUGUAAAUCGGCUUAUUGGAUGAAAUUGCACUUUCUUGUUUCUUGUUCUUCUGGGUUUGCACCCUGAUGGUUGACAUGCACUUAUUGAACGUCUUUGGAUAAAAAGCCUCAGCUAAAUGACAUGUAAUGUAAUGUAGAAACGGGCGGGCAGAGAACUCAAGCUGCAGAUGGUGAGGACGCACAGCCCACAUAUAUUAACAAGCAUAAAACAAAAGACUGUGCAAGACGAGUGCAACGCCGUGAGAGGUGAUGUGUGCAAAAACAGCCAAUUUACACAUUCAGCACAAUGUUAGUUUUCGUUUGGAGUCACAUGAUUGGUGAACUGGUCCGACGUUCACUCUGCUUUUAGCUCCCUGGUUAGCCGCCAAAGUCCCGAGGGAAAUACCUCGCCCAUUAGCUGCCUAAUGCUCCAAUUUCUCUACCAGCUUGUGUGUCUGUCUGCGGUCUGAUGCUGGACAGGUAGCGGUUCGGGCUUUUUAUUUGCUGAAACAAGCCGGCCGCUGCAGCCGCCUGGAAACACGGACGAGAGAAACGACGGGGAGCCGAUACACUAAUGUAAAGUAAUGGGUCAGAAAACCCAAACAACGAGCUGAAAGUAGCUGCAGCCGGGGGUGGAAUUUGGAUUAGUGAGGAAGGGAGAGCCUCUGUCAUGGUGGAUGUGGGGGGGGUGUUGGGUGUGAUUAGGGUGGUUUGUAUGGAUUACACUGUGGACGGUGUUUAUUUCCUCAGUAGAACACAUUCCCAGCGAUGCUGCAGAGAGCGUGUUCAAUGGAUUGUCUGGAGAAACAAUAGCAUUGUUCCUGGAAAGGUACUGCGGAUGUGUCAAUCUCAUCUGUGAUGCCCCUCGAGUCAUUUUGCCGAUUCCACAAAGCUUCUGCGCAGCAACAUUCCAUUGGUUUUGAUCAAAGCAUCCACUUAAUCAUUUUUACGUAUCAAAUACAUACAUUCACCACAUGCUGGUUAAUUCUUAUCCGUGCCACGGAGAGGCCUGGCCUGGGCUCCAGGCAGCAGUGGGGGAAUAUACAAAUAUAUAUUUAGCGAAAGACUGAAGCACUGGGAGAUUGCUUUCGCUCGCGCUGGCUGUUUAUUAUGGAGCUAAAUGAAACUAGGUGGCAGACGGGUUGAGAGGCUUCACCGCUCUGAGAUCCAACACCAUUCAUCUGUAUUAGGACCACUUAUUAGAAAGGCAGCGAUUCAUUUUCUCUGGCACUUCUUUUUUUUUCACUUGAAUAAGUGAGAGAGUAGGGAGAGGAAAAAGGCGGCAGCUAGGAAGGGAAAGAGAGAAUUGAUUUUGCAGGAUGAAUGGAACCAAUGCUGUAUAAUAUUUAUCUCCUCUGGAUCAACGAACCACCGGCUGGCCGAACAAAGAGGGGAAGUUAAUUGAACAGCUCCGGCAUCCCUCUUUCUCCGGCUGUCGUCGGCUCCCUGCGUGCCCUUUUCCCGCUUCUCUGUCUCUCUCGCCGCUCCCUCCCGCCACGACUCCGGCAGGACGGAUGGAUCGGCUUGCAGUCAUUCAUCGGCGGAACAGGGAAAUAAAGAGAAGAUGAAUAAUGGCGGUUGAAAACGUUGGCGUUUUUAUUGCGAUUGGCGCCGUUUCAGCGCAGAUUUGCAUUUGGGAUCUUUUUUCAACUCCAAUGAAGACGCAAGAGAGCGCGCACACACACACACACACACACACACGUUGGUGCACACACCGAGGGUGACAAACUAACACAACGCGACAUUCCCGCUGUGUGACGCUCUAAUGAGACGGGCGGCAGUGACUGAAGCGCUCCGGUGCUGCUCAUAAACAACACAGAACCCUGCGGGCGCGGCCUGCUGGGGCGCGGCCCUGCGCGGCGCGACGCGCCGAACACGCGCCGGUGGGUUAAGGUGUUACAUCUCCAUGCAACCGCCUGGCGUCCGCGUCGAUGCGUCUCCCGAUGCCACGCAAAGGACGCCGCACUUAAUCAAACAUUUCGGCGGCAGUGGCCUCCGUCUGCCGCCCUCGCGCUGACGGUGCUUCUCUCACCUUUUCCUCUCAAACCGGCGGGACAUCGGCGAGUGUCGGCCCCCCGCUGACCCGGGCAUCGCCCUCCAAAGGACUGAGCUCUGAGUCGGGGGCCCAAUGGGCAUGACUCACGGUGCUAUUAUCUAACUCCAAGGUGAGCCCAGCGGCGUCAUUAUUGGGGUUGUCGUGGCGCAGGGGUUAGAGAAGGUGUGCUGGGAAGCUCAAGGUUGGUGGUUCGAUUCCAGGCUGCCCCAUGUUCCAUGUUGAAGUGUCCCUGAGCAAGACACCUAACCCCUAAUUGCUCCCCAGGCAAAAUGUGAAAAAGCCAUGGGUUUAAAGUGUAAUGUAAGUCGCUUUGGAUAAAAGCGUCUGCUAAAUGACCUGUAAUGUAAUGUGUAGCCACACUGAAUGACGGAGCUGUGAUCUAAACACAAACCGGACAUUCUCGACUCACACACAGCCACAUAUUCAUAUAUUAUUUAUUAUUUAAAAAUGGUUUAAUGCCUUCAGCUUUUUCAAUAACUCGCCAGCCGUACCUGUAGAUUAAAACUGGUAUGAAAAGACUUUAGUAGCCAACGGUUUCAGUCAGUGAAGAGAAGAUCUAAAAUAAUAAAUCAACAAAGCCUGAACCUGUGGUUAAAGCAACUUUUGAUAGAAAAAAAAAGAAACGAAAACAAGGACACUCGCCAGACCUCAUUUACUUUUUUAAUAGAAACCCUAAUCAGAGAUAAAAAGAAUAAUGGAGGCUUCAGGCGGCUUGAGUGCUCGGAGGGCUUAAUGAGAUAACAGAGGAUCUAUGCACAAACAACACCAAUUUUCAGAGGAGAGGAAACAACUGAGAUGCAGGGUGAAAACAAACAAAUAACCUGAAGGCAAAGGAGAUUCAUUCUGAGGUUGAUUUGUUUGCACAAUCAACAAUAAGCCAGGUUUCAGAACCUGCCGUGCACAUGACGGCUUUAGAAUUCACAGAUGUUUCAUGAGUCGCACACCAAACAGAGAACACACUAACUCUGUCACUUUCCGUUCGGAGCAAACGAAUACACAUGAAUUAUGAAAAACGUAUAUUUCUCAUUUUACUUUGUUGGAAAAAAGUCUUCCAACAAAUGUCAGACAACCGCCAUCAUGAACAACAACUCCUCUAUGGGCCCAUAAAUAAACAGAUAACAUUUAUUUUCAGGAGGUGCUGGAGUCCAAAAAUAGUGGAAUGUUACUCUUAAAUAAGUAUAAUGACCACCAACAGAACUGUAAACGUAGCCUAUUUUUGUCAGGUGUCUUUUAAAUGCGCAAAUACCAUAGAAAGAAAAGUGCUGGCCAUGUUUUCCGCUUUCCUCACAGAGUCAGGCCGCCCUGACUGGAGGCUGUUACAGAUUGGCAAAGAAGCCGCGUGAAGGAGAUGAUUACUUAUCUGUUAUUUCAUUUGUUCAGUGGAGGUGUUUCUGUGACCAGAUUCAUCUAAAGUCUCCCGAUCAGGCUUCCUCUCAGGGCCGUUUGCCGGUUAAGACGUGGGACAAGCGAGGCGCCCUUUAGGCUUUUGUCCUUUUCGGGGGCGGGCGGAGUGAGUCGUCUGGUUCCUUUGGAUCGCCCGCACCGCGAAACCGCCGAGCGCUUUUGAUAAUGACCGAGGGACCUCACGGACGAGGCUGAGGCAAUUGAAACGGGUUCAGUCGCCUUCGCGCCGUCGCGGGAGAGUCAAGGCAGUCGUGACCCCGCCGCGCUGGUGUCACGGAGCGGUCUCACCCCCAUUUGUCAGACGCCUCGGUGACCCGGCGCACGGUCGCAGCAUUUGGUUUAAGACGGGAAUUCAAACGAAACUGCAACAAAACCAGGAAAAGAAACACGGGUUUAAAAUAACAACAUUUUGCACAAAAAUCGGUAAGCGGUUGAAAAUUGAUUUCCUUGAUUGAUUCAUGCGUGACAUCACUCCCCUGUGAGGGGCUUUUGAAAUGAAAUGUGGGGAAAUAUGUAACGGCUGGCAGCUCUCUCGGCCCGCUAACCAGAUUUUUAACGUUAACGAGUCGACACUGCCGACCUGUCAAAUUAACCGCUUCCAUCCUUCCAUCUCGACGUAAGACAAAAUCAGAUGUUGUAUGAACUCGGUGUCAGAUCUCCUCUCAGUCGCUACUCACAUCUCGACUCAACGUUUAGUCCCAUGAAUCCCGUGUCUCGUUUGUCUCUCAGAAGUCGUCACGUGAAGCUCAGAGCGGCGGACCGUCGCAUCACCAGCACUUGACCAGCUUGCGGUGAGAAUGCGCUGCCUCUUCACAUCGCUCCACCACCUCCACCGACACACUCCACCAUCUUCCAUGGCCCUAAUGGUUCGCUAGGUUAUGCUGCUGUUACAUUGAUUUGAAUGUAUUGUACAUCUUUCACAUUGUUUAUUGUGCGCACAUGACAUUGUAGAGGGAUCCAUCCUCUGACGUUCUCCUUUCUUUCCCCCACGGAAGUGCUUUCAUUUUUUCCUGUGCGGAUGUGAAGGUUUCGGGACAGAGGAUGUCGCAUGCGUACAGACUGUAAAGCCCUCUAAGGCAAAUUUGGGAUUUGGGAUUUUGGGCUAAACUAAAUGAAAUGAAUUGAGUUGAAUGGCUGAGUGGGGUGUGCCGACCUCUGACCUCUCCUGUGUCCAUCCCUGAGUCAAUGUGUGUGAGCUACCCUUUGGACCGUGUCAUUAUAUCUCCAAAAUGUGAGCUCCGACAAAACCACUGUGCUGCAUUUGCAUCGAUUCAGCAGAAAUUCCUAUUAAAGGCUAGAGUGGUAAUUUAUAAAACUGCUGUCUCCAGUAGUUUAAGUGGAAAAAAGGGAGCGUUGCUUUUGUAAUUAUAAAACUGUUGUAUCACCAGUGAAUAUUUACAGUUUCUUGCAGACAGUAUUUACAAGAUAGGCCACAUUGUUCGGGGGAGAGAAAUGUCAAGAUUUUCUUCAUUAUGGUACAGAGACGGACUGCAACAACAGUGAGCAAACACAGACAUGAACUGUUAAAUAUCUGUGUACAUGUGUAAGUGACCCAUAGGACUCCUGCAUAAACCCCCCAACAGACGCCACUGACUUUCCAAUGUGAGGGAGAUGACAUUCAGGCAAAGAGAAAGCACAGUUUAUCCAUUUCAAGACGCUUCACUUUCCAUUAUGUCGCGUUAAGAACCGCAGAAUGUUGAUCUUCAGAGGAUCCCAUUGACCUCCACUAGAAGCUAACAGUCCAGUGGCCCUUGAUUAAGCACAAAUAAUAAAUGAAUAAAUAAAUGCAAUGUUUUGAUUUGGUGUGAAGUGGUUUGUUACAAUGUGGAACGAUACAGUCAACGUGUGAAAAAGGAUUACAACAAUGUCCCCAGUUUGACUGAGAAAUUGCAGCAAGCUUCUGCAAGUAAUUGAGGAAAUUGAUUUGAUUUUUGAUGAUUAUGUUUGCGAUUUUAAAAUUCCUGCUGGGAGUUCGGCUGAGAUCCUGCUCUCAUGCUCACAUUGUUAUUCCCGACAAAUUAGUGUUGUGCAACUUUGACCUUUUUGGUAAUAAGGCGGAUUUGCUGGUUGUCGUCUUGUGAUUGGAGGAAAAACAUUUGCUUGGCCUUUAAUUAAAAAGCAGCUCGCAGUGUACGAGUACCGAUAACGGCUACAAACAAUGAGCAAAGAUCAUCAAAAGCUGCAGACUUUUCUCCGUGCAGACAUGAGUGUUUGUGUACAUAUUGAUGGAGCUGCAUUCUCUCGAAAUUGGUCUGUGAGGGAUUCACUGCUGCCAGGUUGAGCGGCAUCGUGAGAAUAUUACCUAAACAGAAACAAGAAACUAUUCCACCAUCAGACGAUGAGAGGACGUCUUCUACUUAAUGGAACAGGAAGUGGGAGAACAGUUCCAAACAUGUGUGAGGAAUGGC